rnacentral:rRNA from 1 species
UCCUACGGGAGGCAGCAGUGGGGGAUAUUGCGCAAUGGGCGAAAGCCUGACGCAGCGACGCCGCGUGGGGGAUGAAGGCCCUCGGGUUGUAAACCCCUUUCGGCAGGGACGAAGCGAAAGUGACGGUACCUGCAGAAGAAGCUCCGGCUAACUACGUGCCAGCAGCCGCGGUA